rnacentral:rRNA from 1 species
AUCCUGGCUCAGGACGAACGCUGGCGGCGUGCCUAAUACAUGCAAGUCGAGCGGACAGAUGGGAGCUUGCUCCCUGAUGUUAGCGGCGGACGGGUGAGUAACACGUGGGUAACCUGCCUGUAAGACUGGGAUAACUCCGGGAAACCGGGGCUAAUACCGGAUGGUUGUCUGAACCGCAUGGUUCAGACAUAAAAGGUGGCUUCGGCUACCACUUACAGAUGGACCCGCGGCGCAUUAGCUAGUUGGUGAGGUAACGGCUCACCAAGGCGACGAUGCGUAGCCGACCUGAGAGGGUGAUCGGCCACACUGGGACUGAGACACGGCCCAGACUCCUACGGGAGGCAGCAGUAGGGAAUCUUCCGCAAUGGACGAAAGUCUGACGGAGCAACGCCGCGUGAGUGAUGAAGGUUUUCGGAUCGUAAAGCUCUGUUGUUAGGGAAGAACAAGUGCCGUUCAAAUAGGGCGGCACCUUGACGGUACCUAACCAGAAAGCCACGGCUAAC